rnacentral:rRNA from 1 species
AUGCUGACAUAAGUAACGAUAAAGCGGGUGAAAAGCCCGCUCGCCGGAAGACCAAGGGUUCCUGUCCAACGUUAAUCGGGGCAGGGUGAGUCGACCCCUAAGGCGAGGCCGAAAGGCGUAGUCGAUGGGAAACGGGUUAAUAUUCCCGUACUUGGUGUUACUGCGAAGGGGGGACGGAGAAGGCUAUGUUGGCCGGGCGACGGUUGUCCCGGUUUAAGCGUGUAGGUGUGUGUUCCAGGUAAAUCCGGUUCACUUUAACACUGAGGCGUGAUGACGAGGCACUACGGUGCUGAAGCAACAAAUGCCCUGCUUCCAGGAAAAGCCUCUAAGCAUCAGGUAACAUCAAAUCGUACCCCAAACCGACACAGGUGGUCAGGUAGAGAAUACCAAGGCGCUUGAGAGAACUCGGGUGAAGGAACUAGGCAAAAUGGUGCCGUAACUUCGGGAGAAGGCACGCUGACACGUAGGUGAAGUGAUUUACUCAUGGAGCUGAAGUCAGUCGAAGAUACCAGCUGGCUGCAACUGUUUAUUAAAAACACAGCACUGUGCAAACACGAAAGUGGACGUAUACGGUGUGACGCCUGCCCGGUGCCGGAAGGUUAAUUGAUGGGGUCAGCGCAAGCGAAGCUCCUGAUCGAAGCCCCGGUAAACGGCGGCCGUAACUAUAACGGUCCUAAGGUAGCGAAAUUCCUUGUCGGGUAAGUUCCGACCUGCACGAAUGGCGUAAUGAUGGCCAGGCUGUCUCCACCCGAGACUCAGUGAAAUUGAACUCGCUGUGAAGAUGCAGUGUACCCGCGGCAAGACGGAAAGACCCCGUGAACCUUUACUAUAGCUUGACACUGAACAUUGAGCCUUGAUGUGUAGGAUAGGUGGGAGGCUUUGAAGCGUGGACGCCAGUCUGCGUGGAGCCGACCUUGAAAUACCACCCUUUAAUGUUUGAUGUUCUAACGUGGACCCGUAAUCCGGGUUGCGGACAGUGUCUGGUGGGUAGUUUGACUGGGGCGGUCUCCUCCUAAAGAGUAACGGAGGAGCACGAAGGUUGGCUAAUCCUGGUCGGACAUCAGGAGGUUAGUGCAAUGGCAUAAGCCAGCUUGACUGCGAGCGUGACGGCGCGAGCAGGUGCGAAAGCAGGUCAUAGUGAUCCGGUGGUUCUGAAUGGAAGGGCCAUCGCUCAACGGAUAAAAGGUACUCCGGGGAUAACAGGCUGAUACCGCCCAAGAGUUCAUAUCGACGGCGGUGUUUGGCACCUCGAUGUCGGCUCAUCACAUCCUGGGGCUGAAGUAGGUCCCAAGGGUAUGGCUGUUCGCCAUUUAAAGUGGUACGCGAGCUGGGUUUAGAACGUCGUGAGACAGUUCGGUCCCUAUCUGCCGUGGGCGCUGGAGAACUGAGGGGGGCUGCUCCUAGUACGAGAGGACCGGAGUGGACGCAUCACUGGUGUUCGGGUUGUCAUGCCAAUGGCACUGCCCGGUAGCUAAAUGCGGAAGAGAUAAGUGCUGAAAGCAU